rnacentral:tRNA from 1 species
GUGGCUAUAGCUCAGUUGGUAGAGCUCUGGAUUGUGAUUCCAGUUGUCAUGGGUUCAAUUCCCAUUAGCCACCCCAUUU